rnacentral:rRNA from 1 species
AUUGAACGCUGGCGGCAGGCCUAACACAUGCAAGUCGAGCGAGCGGCGGACGGGUGAGUAAUGUCUGGGAAACUGCCUGAUGGAGGGGGAUAACUACUGGAAACGGUAGCUAAUACCGCAUACCAUCAGAUGUGCCCAGUUGGGAUUAGCUAGUAGGUGGGGUAACGGCUCACCUAGGCGACGAUCCCUAGCUGCUCUGAGAGGAUGACCAUCCACACUGGACUUAGGACACGGUCCAGACUCCUACGGGGGGCAGCAGUGGGGAAUAUUGCACAAUGGGCGCAAGCCGGAUGCAGCCAUGCCGCGUGUGUGAAGAAGGCCUUCGGGUUGUAAAGCACUGUCAGCGGGGAGGCGUUACCCGCAGAAGAAGCACCGGCUAACGCCGUGCCAGCAGCCGCGGUAAUAC